AGUACCCUCUCGAGCUAUAUACCUAAAAUACAUACAUGGCUUAGGUAUAUAGAUGAUAUCUUUAUUGUAUGGCUGGGUGAUGAAGAAGAUUUCAAUAAGUUUGUCUCUCUACUGAAUAUAAACGAAGAUAAUUUAAGAUUUACAGCAGAAUUUGGAGGACAUACAUUGAAUUUUCUAGACAUAACCAUUUCCAUCAACAGGAAUGGAUCUUUGAAAACAACUCUUUUUAAGAAGCCAACAGCAUCCAAUGCAUUCCUUAGUUGGGAUAGCUUCCAUCCUAGGCCUCUUAAACAAGGCAUUCCUGUAGGACAAUAUCUGAGGGUACGUAGGAAUUGUACAGACCUAUCAGACUUUAAGGUAAAAGCAGCUUUACUGAGACAACAAUUUCGGGAAAAAGGUUACCCGAAUAAAUGCCUCAAGAAAGCGUACAAAAGAGCCAUAGAAUUAAACAGAGAUGACCUUAUUCUAGACCAAUCUAAGCAAAAAUCGUUGAAUAAGACUAUCCGUAUGAUUGGAACCUUCGAUACAGGAUGGAAUACAGUGAAAAGGUCGAUUGAGAAAUUCUGGCCCAUCCUUUUAAAGGAUGUCCAUCUUAAAGACGUCCUUACCCCUAGGGCAACUAUUACAGCACGCAGGGGGAGAAAUCUUCGUGAUAUGUUGGUACCAAGCCACUUUUCAGUGAAACAGAAGAAAACGAGUUGGCUGGGUCGAAAUCCCCCCUGUGGUUCCUAUGGAUGCGGAAGAUGCGUCGCAUGCAAGUACAUUCUUCGGGACUCGAAGAAAGUCCAAGAUAGUGCUGGACAACAGAGUUUUGGGAUCACCCAGUUCUUUAACUGCAACACUGCUGGUUUAGUAUACCUCCUUACCUGUAGUUGCAAAAUGAUGUAUGUAGGAAAAACGUUUAGACCCUUUAAGGAACGGAUCAAAGAACAUGUAAGAUCCCAAAAAAACCGCAUGGAAACCCCAAUUUCAAGACAUCUAAAAAACUGC